GGUUCAUUAUGGCUCAGAUUGAACGCUGGCGGGAUGCUUUACACAUGCAAGUCGAACGGCAGCACGGACUUCGGUCUGGUGGCGAGAGUGGCGAACGGGUGGUGUAUCGGAACGUGCCUAGUAGCGGGGGAUAACUGCACUUGAAAGCGUAGCUAAUACCACAUACGCCCUUCAGAGAAAGCAGGGGACGUGGGGCCUCGCACUGGUAGAGCAGCCGUGAUGGUUGGCUGGUUGGUGAGGUAACGGCUCACAAGGCAGCGAUCAGCCCAGCUGGUUUGAGAGGACGACCAGCCACACUGGGACUGAGACGCGGCCCAGACUCCCACGGGAAGCGGCGGUAGAAAUUUUGGACAAUGGGAAACCCUGAUCCAGCCAUCCCGCGUGUGCGAUGUGAGGCCUUCGGUUGUAAAGCACUUUUGGCAGGAAAAACGGCACGGGAUAUUACCCCGUGCAACUGACGGCUCCUGCAGAAUAAGCACCAGCUAACUACGUGCCAGCGGCGCGGUAAUACGUAGGGUGCAAGCGUUAAUCGGAAUUACUGGGCGUAAAAGUAGUAACGAACGGUUCCGGAAAGAAGAUACUGAGAAAUCCCAGAGCUUAACUUUGGAACUGCAUUUUUAACUACCGGAAAACAGAGUGUGUCAGAGGAGGUGGAAUUCCGCGUGUAGCAGUGAAAUGCGUAGAUAUGCGGAGGAACACCGAUGGCGAAAGCGGCCUCUGGGACAACACUGACGCUCAUGCACAGCAAUAUCGGGGAGCAAACAGGAUUAGAUACCCUGGUAGUCCACGCCCUAAACGAUGUCAACUAGCUGGGGCCUUCGGGCCUUGGUAGCGCAGCUAACCGCGUGAAGUUGACCGCCGCAGAGCUGGUCGCAAGAUUAAAACUCAAAGGAAUUGACGGGGACCCGCACAAGCGGUGGAUGAUGUGGUUAGUCGAUGCUGAAAAACCUUACCUACCCUUGACAUGUCUGGAAUCCCGAAGAGAUUUGGGAGUGCUCGCAGAAGAACGGAACGCAGGUGCUGCAUGGCUGUCGUCAGCUCGUGUCGUGAGAUGUUGGGUUAAGUCCCACGAACGAGCGCAACCCUUGUCAUUAGUUGCUACGAAAGGGCACUCUAAUGAGACUGCCGGUGACAAACCGGAGGAAGGUGGGGAUGACGUCAAGUCUCCAUGGCCCUUAUGGGUAGGCUUCCCCCGUCAUACAAUGGUCGGGACAGAGGGUCGCCAACCCGCGAGGGAACCAAUCCAGAAACCCGAUCGUAGUCCGGAUCGCAGUCUGCAACUCGACUGCGUGCAGUCGGAAUCGCUGGUAAUCGCGGAUCGGCAUGUCGCGGUGAAUACGUUCCCAGGUCUUGUACACCGCCCACGUCGCACCAUGGGAGUGGGUUUACCGAAGUAGUUAGCUAACCGUAAGGAGGGCGAUUACCACGGUAGGAUUCAUGACUGGGGUGAAGUCGUAACAGGUAG
rnacentral:rRNA from 1 species